rnacentral:rRNA from 1 species
GACGAACCGUGCAAACGUUGUUCGGAAUCACUGGGCUUAAAGGGCGCGUAGGCGGUCGACCAAGUCCGGGGUGAAAUCUUUCGGCUUAACCGGAAAAGUGCCUUGGAUACUGGCCGGCUGGAGGGAGGUAGGGGCAGGUGGAACUUCCAGUGGAGCGGUGAAAUGCGUUCAUAUUGGAAAGACCACCGAUGGCGAAGGCACUCUACUGGGCCAUUACUGACACUGAGAGACGAAAGCUAGGGGAGCAAAUGGG